GCUGGCGGCAUGCCUAACACAUGCAAGUCGAACGGAAACAGGACGCUGUGAUCCCUUCGGGGUGAACUUGUCGCUGUCGAGUGGCGGACGGGUGAGUAAUGCAUAGGAAUUUGCCUCAAAGUGGGGGAUAGCCCGGAGAAAUCCGGAUUAAUACCGCAUGUGCUCCACGGAGGAAAGCGGGCCUCUACUUGUAAGCUCGCGCUUUGAGAUAAGCCUAUGUCGGAUUAGCUAGUUGGUAGGGUAACUGCCUACCAAGGCGACGAUCCGUAGCUGGUUUGAGAGGAUGAUCAGCCACACUGGGACUGAGACACGGCCCAGACUCCUACGGGAGGCAGCAGUGGGGAAUAUUGGACAAUGGGCGCAAGCCUGAUCCAGCAAUGCCGCGUGUGUGAAGAAGGCCUGCGGGUUGUAAAGCACUUUUAUCGGGAAAGAAAAUCCCAGGGUUAAUACCCCUGGGCCUUGACGGUACCCGAAGAAUAAGCACCGGCUAACUCCGUG
rnacentral:rRNA from 1 species